rnacentral:lncRNA from 1 species
CAGGAAUGCUUUGUUAGAGCGGGGGUUGGGUUCAGGAGAGAAACAGUGGCAAACAGAGUGAGCAGCUUCGAAGAAGGCAUUUUCCACCCUGUGUUUUCCAAACCACCCCAUGGGGUUCUUACUGAAGUCCGGAGGUCCAUAGCACUAGUCCAUUCCUUCCACUGCCAAGACCUUAGACUCACAGACAUCAGUGAGAACUGGAACCCUGUGGGUAUUUCUACAACUCACAGAUUAUUAACAAUAAUGAAUGACAGAGACUGAGGAGGAGCCUGAGACUGUCUGUGGACCUCCUGUGAAUAUCAGAAACCAUAUUUUGGAGGGGUUAGAAGAAGGGGAUAUGGUGUUCACAUUUGCUUCUAUUGGAUUCCAAUCAAUCUUCCCUUGGAGACAUAUACACCCUGGCAAGUGAUCUUUCCUAAGCAAGAACAAAACUAUUAAAAAGGAUUCCAUCCAUCUCCUCCUUCCCUGUGCCCCAACUCUGC